rnacentral:rRNA from 1 species
UACGUAGGGGGCGAGCGUUGUCCGGAGUUACUGGGCGUAAAGCGUGCGCAGGCGGUGAUGUAAGACAGUUGUGAAAUCCCCGGGCUCAACCUGGGAACUGCAUCUGUGACUGCAUCGCUGGAGUGCGGCAGAGGGGGAUGGAAUUCCGCGUGUAGCAGUGAAAUGCGUAGAUAUGCGGAGGAACACCGAUGGCGAAGGCAAUCC